rnacentral:snRNA from 1 species
GGUUGUAAGGGCAAUCUGGCUGCCAUAUAUGUCACCCCAGUGACGGCCAGGGUUGAUUUGAUUGAUUUGGCUGGCUAGGCAGUGGCCCCUUCCUGCCUCACUACUCCAUAUGUAUCUCUUCAAAGCUGUUCACUAUGUCAAAGACAAAGUCUUUGGUCAACCUUAUAUGAGUAGCUGCAUUCCCCUGCUAAAACCUCCAAAUUACCUCUAAAGAAAAGGAGAAGAGAUCCAGGAAAGGAGCAAAAGAAAGGAAUACAACAGUGUUGUAAGCAGAGACAGUUUUGAUUC